AUCACGGUAGCCGCUUCAGGCUCGCGGCGGGGGGUAGAGGAUUUCUGUCAUACGGCCCGGUAUAUUUUAACAAAAUAUUCAGCUGUACGAAUGAUCAUCCACAUUGCAUUCGUUGUUCAGCUAACAUCGACGAUCCAUUGUGGGAGUGGGGUGAGUGAGGGCUGCUGUGCGGAUCCCACACUGUGGAGCAGCCACACACUGAAUGGUGUCUCCCACAAUGAAGGCUUUGGUGGAUGCAGUCUGGGUGGUGUGGGGCAUCGGGGCCUCAAUCUAUGAUUACAUCCACACCAGUGCCAUGGAAGAACGCAUUCACUCACUGGAGAGUGCUAUAACCAUCCACCAGUGUGUCAUUGGCCUGCUCUCUGCUGGACUUGUGGCCCUCUUCACCUACAUUCUGCUAAGGAAGCACUGACACAAAAUUUCAGCCAUUGUUUGUGUGCAAGACUACAUCAGUGAUGGCAGAGGAAAUUGAAAUUCUGGGACCAUGUUGACGUCAAGCAAUGUUCAGAUAAUUUUAAAGGGAUUUUAGCAUGUCUGAAUUUCACCUAAUUUAUUACCGACUAAACUUUAUUAAUUUCAAAUUCUGUUGAAAUUUCCCUACGGUAUGAUCUGUUGUGAUUCAGUGUAAUCUGGUAAACCAAAAUAGGUGUGUCUCUUAAUUAAAAAUAGUAUUCCACCAUGUCCUGUAAUGGAUUUUGAGGUUGUUGUUGGCUACCACAGAUGAAAGGAUUCAGAGAUGCUACCUGCCCACAGUUCUUUACACAAGCUUGGUUACAGCCGAACAAACACAAAACAACCACUGGAUCAGCAGGCUUUUCAACCGGUUUGCGGUUAUUGUCAAGGGAGUCAGUUUGUGUGUCUUGGUUACUUUUAACAAAGCAUUCAACUUGCCAAUGACUAAGCAUAAUGUCAUUUAUUUAUUGUUAGCCUAUGACAUCUCAUACAGCUUAUUUCUUAACUCCAUUGUUAAUGAGAGACUGCGAUUAAAUUCUUUUUACAACUUGAGAGAGAACUUGAAGUGUCCUUAAUCACCAAAGAUAUCUGAUGUAGUUAACACAACGUUAUCAGUGUAUUAUCUAUUACUAUGUAUAAAUGACAACUUUUAUUUCAUGUUAAAGCUGUGACAUCAGUUAACGCACCGUUGUGUUUCAUAUUUUUACUUUUACCAUGUUUCCUUAGAAACUUUUUCCUAGUGCAAAAAAACUAAAACAAAUAAAAACUGCUAAUGAAAAUUA